CUGCCGCAGGUUCGGGUCUCACGUAGUGAGACAACGGAGCCGCUUGCGGCGACGGCCCGAAGGGCGAGCAAAGCGAGUCAUCCUGCACGACCCACCA
rnacentral:sRNA from 4 species